GCCCGCUUAGCUCAAUGGAUAGAGCGCGUGGCUUCGGACCACGAGGUUAGGGGUUCGAGUCCCUUAGCGGGCA
rnacentral:tRNA from 1 species